CAAGGGUGGCCCUGUCCCCCGCCCGCCCCAUGCUCCUCACACAGCCCGCUGGCAUUGUGUGUGUGUGUGUGCGUGUGUGUCUGUGUCCGCCCGCUCACUGAGCAGCGCUACUGCAGAUCUACUGUGCCUGGUAUGGGCAGGGGCUAGACACUUGCUUCCGCUGUUACUGGUCACUAUUUCAUUCCCUGCGCCCCUUCACCCCCAAUCCUAGACCUGCUACCCUCAUUUGAUUCCUUACCCACAUACCCCUUCCCCCAUAAGUUUGUUUUUUUAGGUAAGUAAAGUACAGACCCAAACUAUACUACUGAAAAUCAGUCCAGUUCAGGUUUCUGAUAUGUUUAGGUCAGACAACUCAUUCACAUACACUAUAACUGAUAUGUUUAGGUCAGACAACUCAUUCACAUGCACUAUAACUGAUAUGUUUAGGUCGGACAACUCAUUCACAUACACUAUAACUGAUAUGUUUAGGUCAGACAACUCAUUCACAUGCACUAUAACUGAUAUGUUUAGGUCGGACAACUCAUUCACAUACACUAUAACUGAUAUGUUUAGGUCAGACAACUCAUUCACAUGCACUAUAACAUAUGUUUAGGUCAGACAACUCAUUCACAUACACUAUAACUGAUAUGUUUAGGUCAGACAACUCAUUCACAUACACUAUAACUGAUAUGUUUAGGUCAGACAACUCAUUCACAUACACUAUAACUGAUAUGUUUAGGUCGGACAACUCAUUCACAUACACUAUAACUGAUAUGUUUAGGUCGGACAACUCAUUCACAUACACUAUAACUGAUAUGUUUAGGUCGGACAACUCAUUCACAUACACUAUAACUGAUAUGUUUAGGUCAGACAACUCAUUCACAUACACUAUAACUGAUAUGUUUAGGUCAGACAACUCAUUCACAUACACUAUAACUGAUAUGUUUAGGUCAGACAACUCAUUCACAUACACUAUAACUGAUAUGUUUAGGUCAGACAACUCAUUCACAUGCACUAUAACAUAUGUUUAGGUCAGACAACUCAUUCACAUACACUAUAACUGAUAUGUUUAGGUCAGACAACUCAUUCACAUACACUAUAACUGAUAUGUUUAGGUCGGACAACUCAUUCACAUACACUAUAACUGAUAUGUUUAGGUCAGACAACUCAUUCACAUACACUAUAACAUAUGUUUAGGUCAGACAACUCAUUCACAUACACUAUAACUGAUAUGUUUAGGUCAGACAACUCAUUCACAUACACUAUAACUGAUAUGUUUAGGUCAGACAACUCAUUCACAUACACUAUAACAUAUGUUUAGGUCGGACAACUCAUUCACAUGCAC